UGCAAUAUACACUUAUAAGUCUCCCCAGGAAGAAGAAAAAAAAGUGGCCUUUUUCUCCCGACCGUAUCGGCACUGGCAGACUGGCGGGAAGACUUGUCAGGAAGAGGAUUCCUGGGGUACAUUAAAUUGCCAGCACACUGGCAGACCAGUGGGGAGACUCGUGAAGACGAAAAGCCGUAUGAGUCUGGCCAAUCACUGCUUAACACCUGGAGAAUAUAAGCACUGAACUCUCUGUUUCAUUUUUGGAGUCGAUGACGCUGACGUUCCCCUCCGUCCUCCCCACCACCACCAGGUUGGCCCCAGUCCAUCCAUAGGGGGUAGGGUCUGCCCCUGCCUUCGUCUUCAGGCAGGAUCCACCGAAUCUGCAUCCCCCAUGAUUAGGAUUAAGGACGGGGCUUAUGCCAAAGAACUUUUCUAUACCACUGUACAUUAAUCAUUGCAACUCACUGCCAUCUGUUAUUACUUUUACAGAAUAAAUACAAUGAAAAUG